GGUCCGUCGAUGGCCCUUACGGGCUGGGCUACACACGUGCUACGAAUGGUGGUGACAGUGGGCAGCGAGCACGCGAGUGUGAGCUAAUCUCCAAAAGCCAUACUCAGUUCGGAUUGGCACUCUGCAACUCGAGUGCAUGAAGUUGGAAUCGCUAGUAAUCGCGGAUCAGCAUGCCGCGGUGAAUACGGUUCCCGGGCCUU
rnacentral:rRNA from 1 species